AGGGGUGACUAGUGACAUAGUGAGGAAGGGGGUGACACAGUGACAGGGUGAGAGGAAGGAAGGGGUGACUGGUGACAGAGUGAGGGGAUGACUGGUGACCACCUCCCUCACUCUGUCACCAGUCAUCCCCUCACUCUGUCACCAGUCAUCCCCUCACUCUGUCACCAGUCACCCCUUCCCUCCCUCUCUCUGUCACUAGUCACACCUUCCCUCUGUCACUAAUCACCACCUCCCUCACUCUGUCACUAGUCACCCCCUUCUUAACUCUGUCACUAGUCAUACCCU